UGGCCUUGAAUAAUCUUUCAGUUACUGAUAGUAUCUUAAGGUCUGCACUUUGUGUAUUAAGUUUUUAUUGUUGGCUAAAAAAAGUUUUGCUUUCCAUUGAUCAGAUUCGUCACUCUAUUUUCAACCGAUCUUUUUGUAGUUUGGUCAUAUGCUGUGGUGUUACACCACUGAACACGAUUAACAAAGGGCAUGAGAACCAUGUUAUCCUUCCAUCAUUUGUUUGUUCCUUUCCCACGUCAUAAACCUGUAAAGCAGGGGAUGUUGCCUAUAUCAUUUGUUUCUUUUAUUGUUUUGUAAAUGAAUCAGGCCUUCGUUUUUUCGUUCAAAUUAUAUUAUCUUUUUGAUUUUUGAUCAAUUUAUAGCUUGGUAUGCGAUAUUGGUUUGUGCUGACCUAUCGUUGUUAACUUCAACGACAUUUGGUAUCUAUCUCAUUUGCAAUCAUAUCAUGUAUUUCUAUUUUUACAUAUAUGCAUUUAACAUUAUUCGCUUAGUGUUAAGUUCGAUUUAAUGAGGUUUUGAUCAAUCAUAUUUGAAGAAAAAAAAACAAUUCAUUUGCAAGAAAGAUUUUAUUCAGAAAAGACAGAAGUUAGAAUGAAUAAUGAUUUUUUUUUAAUUACAAUAAUAUCAAAAUACUUAUGUACCGCUCUAAACAGUAUAGAUAAAUCUACAUUCA
rnacentral:lncRNA from 1 species